rnacentral:rRNA from 1 species
AGCGAACGCUGGCGGCAGGCUUAACACAUGCAAGUCGAGCGGGCAUCCUUGUGGUGUCAGCGGCAGACGGGUGAGUAACGCGUGGGAACGUGCCCUUCGGUUCGCAAUAACUCCGGGAAACUUGAGCUAAUACCGGAUACGUGCGAGAGCAGAAAGGUUUAUCUGCUGAAGGAUCGGCCCGCGUCUGAUUAGCUAGUUGGUGAGGUUACGGCUCACCAAGGCGACGAUCAGUAGCUGGUCUGGGAGGAUGAUCAGCCACACUGGGACUGAGACACGGCCCAGACUCCUACGGGAGGCAGCAGUGGGGAAUAUUGGACGAUGGGGGCAACCCUGAUCCAGCCAUGCCGCGUGAGUGAUGACGGCCUUAGGGUUGUAAAGCUCUUUUCUCCGGGACGAUAAUGACGGUACCGGAGGAAUAAGCCCCGGCUAACUUCGUG